GACGAACGCUGGCGGCGUGCUUAACACAUGCAAGUCGAACGGUGAAGGGGUCUGCUUUUGUGGGCCCUGGAUGAGUGGCGAACGGGUGAGUAACACGUGAGUAACCUGCCCCCUUCUUCUGGAUAACCGCAUGAAAGUGUGGCUAAUACGGGAUAUUCUGGGUCUGUCGCAUGAUGGGUCUGGGAAAGAUUGCGCCUUUGGGUGUUUUUGGUGGGGGAUGGGCUCGCGGCCUAUCAGCUUGUUGGUGGGGUGAUGGCCUACCAAGGCGGUGACGGGUAGCCGGCCUGAGGGGGUGGACGCUCACACUGGGACUGAGACACGGCCCAGACUGCUACGGGAGGGAGCGGUGGGGAAUAUUGCACAAUGGGCGCCAGCCUGAUGCAGCGACGCCGCGUGAGGGAUGGCGGCCUGCGGGUUGUAAACCUCUUUCGCAAGUGAAGCAUGCCUGCUCAAUGUGGGUGGGUUGACGGUAGCUGGAUAAGAAGCGCCGGCUAACUACGUG
rnacentral:rRNA from 1 species